rnacentral:rRNA from 1 species
GGCCGCGGGAAUUCGAUUCAGGCCUAACACAUGCAAGUCGAGCGGUAGAGAGAAGCUUGCUUCUCUUGAGAGCGGCGGACGGGUGAGUAAUGCCUAGGAAUCUGCCUGGUAGUGGGGGAUAACGUUCGGAAACGGACGCUAAUACCGCAUACGUCCUACGGGAGAAAGCAGGGGACCUUCGGGCCUUGCGCUAUCAGAUGAGCCUAGGUCGGAUUAGCUAGUUGGUGAGGUAAUGGCUCACCAAGGCGACGAUCCGUAACUGGUCUGAGAGGAUGAUCAGUUACACUGGAACUGAGACACGGUCCAGACUCCUACGGGAGGCAGCAGUGGGGAAUAUUGGACAAUGGGCGAAAGCCUGA